CAAGACCUUCCUUGGAGGGCAAAGGCCUUCUUCUUUCCCCAUUUGUCACAGCGUCUAUUUUGCUUCUCCGCAGCCAGCGUGACUUUGUCAACACCCUUCCUUUGCUUCUCUCUGCUUUCAGUCCAGUUCCUCAUCUGCGGUUUUCGGCAAAAGGAAAGGCCUUGCAAGCAGAAAUCCCCCAAAGGCCAGGGCGGAAGUUUUCGGCCAAAGGCGAGCAGGGAGUCCAGGUUGGGAGUCCAGUCCAAAAGCUGCGGAAAAAGACAGCCAAAGACAGCCAGGCCUGACUUCAAGCCUGAGGUUUCUGCAGAACAUAAGGAGGAUGUUCAAGGCCACAUUCCUGAGAGAGGCCUUCCGCAGGUUUUCUCUGAAAAUUGUUUUUUUGAGGAAGAUUUGUCAGAUGCAGAUGUAGAAGUUAAUGAGCUUGAAGAUAGACAACAAGACUUUUGUAAACAAAGAGAGAGUUCAUAUGUCUUUCGAAGAUCAGCCUGUCUUCGGGGGAAAAGAGGGAAGGGAAAUCGUUAUCUGGUGGGAAAGUGAAAUGGAAUGUGUUCUGACGGGAUAAUGGUGUGCAAAAAUCAUCAUCCUCGUCUCACCUCCUUCUCCAGACUGUAUUCCCAUGCUGAGAAACAGCACUGGUCAAACAAACACUCCAGCAGACAAAGUCCAACUGCUGAUUAACUUUAUUUACAUGUCUAUUUACAGUUUGCAUUUCUCGGCUUCAGAGCAUAGCAGUCAUAGUCCAUCUUCAGAGAAUGCUCAAGCCGAACACCACAGAUAAGAUAAACAACAUUCCUCAGUCCGGAGGAAGUUCCAACCCUCAAAGGCAGGAAAUCAAGCCUGAUAGGUCAUAGCAAUCACAACAGGCUGUCAGUCAAAACUAGCCUGCUGUUAACUAUUUCAUUACUGAAAAAUACACACUCUUGCUCAUCAGCAGUAAACACUUGAUUUACA
rnacentral:lncRNA from 11 species